rnacentral:lncRNA from 1 species
GGGUUUAUGUAGCAGGGAAGAUGUGUAAUAAUGUGUAAGAAAGCAGGAACUAGGGAGGGGCAAGGAAGCAAUCAUGAUGAAUGAGGGCCUGGCAUCUCAUUGUCUGGAUAUGAUUAGCUGAAGAAACUGUUAGAGCACCCUGGGAUGUGUGGGCCUGGGACUGUUUGCCUUUGGCACGGCUAUGCUCCGAGCUUUGGAGGAGCCAAGGAAGAAAGGCCUAGUUCCUGAUCUUAAGGCCUUUGCAGUGUGCAUUGGGAGACAUAGACUGCAAUGAAAAGAUCAUUAUUGCAAGAGACAAAUGGCAUGGAGCCACAUUCCCAGGGAAGAAGCCAAAAGAUUGGACACCCCUGAUAUAAAUGGAUGUUCCUCCCCUCUCCCACCCAGGAGACUAAGAAGCUGAAGGAAGAGACUGUGUGUUCCAUAUCCCAGACUCAGGGGAGAAAACGAGAUGUCACUGAAACUCUCCCCGUGGUCGUUUCAACCACAUCUCCAUCACAUUAUAGCCAGCAAGGGCGCAAGCACAGGCCAGAAUUCUUAACGGAAUUGUGGACAUGGGACUUCCAACAGAGGAUAAGGUUUGCUUUUAUUACAGGGCACUGGUCCACCAAACAGGGCGUCAGUAGGCCCUCUGGAUAAAAGCUACAUUUAUCCAUGAUGUGGAGAGAGGUCUUCCGAGCUAAAGUCAGUGCACAUGGUCUACACCACGUGUAGUGCGGUGUGGUGUAGACAAUGUGCACGGACCUUGGCUCAGAAGACCUCCCUCCACAUCAGCUGCAGGGUGCUCCAAGUCACCCACCCACUCUGAGCCUAUUUCCUCAUCUGUAAAAUACCAACCAGCCUAAUCCUCUUAGAGAUUGUUUAAGGAUCUGGUGAGAAAAUAUUUUUACAACGCUUUUUAAACUAAGUCUUAAAGAAAUACAAAAUAUUUUACUAGCCCUUUCUCGAUGGCAUGAACACAAAAUUCUGCUUAAGAAGUGCACCACAGGGCUGGGUGUGGCGGCUCAUGCCUGUAAUCCCAGCGCUUUUGGAGGCCAAGGCAGGUGGAUCACCUGAGGUCAGGAGCUCCAGACCAGCCUGGCCAACAUGGUGAAAACCCAUCUCUACUAAAAAUACAAAAAUUAGCCAGGCAUGGUGGUGGGCGCC